rnacentral:rRNA from 1 species
CCUACGGGUGGCAGCAGUGAGGAAUAUUGGUCAAUGGACGAGAGUCUGAACCAGCCACGUCGCGUGAAGGAUGACUGCCCUAUGGGUUGUAAACUUCUUUUAUAUGGGAAUAAAAUGUUCCACGUGUGGGAUUUUGUCUGUACCAUAUCAAUACGGAUCGGCUAACUCCGUGCCAGCAGCCGCGGUAAUACGGAGGCUCCGAGCGUUAUCCGGAUUUAUUGGGUUUAAAGGGAGCGUAGGUGGAUUGUUAAGUCAGGUGUGAAAGUUUGCGGCUCAACCUUAAAAUUGCAGUUGAAACUGGCAGUCUUGAUUACAGUAGAGGUGAGCGGAAUUCGUGGUGUAGCGGUGAAAUGCUUAGAUAUCACGAAGAACUCCGAUUGCGAAGGCAGUUCACUGGACUGCAACUGACACUGAGGCACGAAAGUGUGGGUAUCAAACAGGAUUAGAUACCCGAGUAGUC